UCCGUUCUAUUAUUAUAGAAAUAUUGGGAACUGCUUUGAUUGUAGAAUUUAAUGCAUGUGGUUUAUUGCUCUUUAUUGUGAAUCUCUGAAUCAUAAAUUCUAACAAUUGGUAUCAGAGCAUGUUAAUUUAUGAUUAAAUUGCAUAAACCAAAUUUGGGAAUUUGAAAUUGAUUACGAAUUAUAAAUCUAUAAUCAAUUUUGUGCAUUAAUUCUACGGUUUGAAAAGGAAAAUUAACAUCCAGAAUUUCCAAUUUGAAUGUCUUUGUAACCCUAAUUUGGGAAAAUUCCCAAAUUUGAAACCCUAAGGAGAGUUUCCUUUUCUGGUUUACCUUCUUCGUUCUCUGGUGCUGUGCGUUUUUUUUCUCGCGUUUUCCGCUCCAUCCAUGGCUUCCUUCUUCUGGUUCGCUGCUUCUCUUUUCUUUCUUCAUCUUCAACUUGCGGUNNN
rnacentral:lncRNA from 1 species